rnacentral:rRNA from 1 species
AAUCAACGCUGGCGGCGUGCCUCAGACAUGCAAGUCGAACGAUUAAAGCUCUCUUCGGAGAGUGUAUAGAGUGGCGCACGGGUGAGUAACACGUAAGUAAUCUACCCUCGAGUGGGGAAUAACAACCGGAAACGGUUGCUAAUACCGCAUAAUGCAGCGGCACCGCAAGGUGACAGUUGUUAAAGAUUUAUCGCUUGAGGAGGAGCUUGCGGCAGAUUAGCUAGUUGGUAGGGUAACGGCUUACCAAGGCUACGAUCUGUAACCGGUCUAAGAGGACGGUCGGUCACACUGACACUGAAUAACGGGUCAGACUCCUACGGGAGGCAGCAGUCGGGAAUUUUGGGCAAUGGGCGAAAGCCUGACCCAGCAACGCCGCGCGAAGGAUGAAGUAUUUCGGUAUGUAAACUUCGAAAGAAUAGGAAGAAUAAAUGACGGUACUAUUUAUAAGGUCCGGCUAACUACGUGCCAGCAGCCGCGGUAAGGAGCUGUCGU